UCUCUGAGUUUUGUUUUGCAGUUUGACAGUCUCCGACGUUAAGGUGAUGCACCCCAGACACUGCGCACAGGUAGGUCCUAAUGAUCCAGGGCAUAGGUCUGGGAGUAUCCGCUGUGCAAGCAGCUCAUCCAGCCGGAAGGCCAACUCCAGUCACUCCGGAUAGGAACCUGGACCCUCCGCGAAACCUGACUCCUGCUGCUUGGGGCCCUCUUCACUGCCUGUUGGUUAGCUGCACUCGUGGGCAGCGAACAGGAUCAAUAAGACACCUCCGACUCUUCUAUUUACAAACUAGCUGCCUUCAGCAGCCAGGCUGUUUAAGCACUUCAUUCCCAUUCAGGAGGGCCAUCUGCUGCCUUUUGCCGUAAGUCUCUCUGAAAACCCCAGCCUUGACAAGCUAGAGAUAUGUCAGUGCAGUUAUCAGCAGAAAGCAACAUCUGCCAUGCCUGACACCCACUAUUGUAGGCCAUUUAAUCUGUCCCCCUCCUCCCUUUAACUGCAGACAACAGCUCCCUAUAUUAUAUUUUCCCACUCAAUUAGCACUAUCAUCCUGCUGAAAUAGAGGCCAAUUUACCUUUAAUGACAUCAUUGUUAGGAGAGUGGCAGCUCCUGGUCUGUGGCUGUCACUGGCUUGCAGGAGGCAGGCUUGUCUCUCUCCACUAACCCUGACAGAGGAAGGGAAGAGCAGGCAGCCUAUCCGAGGCAGCCUUCACCCCCGACCACAGACAUUGUUUCCGACAGUUCGCAGAAGCAGUGUGGCGGAAAAUUGAGUCCAGAUUCAUUAGGUUUUUCAGUGUGCUGCUCAAGUCAGUUAAAUUGAUACAUUUCCUAACAAAAUUGAAGUGCUUUGUGCUGCCAGCGGAAAGCCUGGUGACCCUGCUCGGCCCACUGAGCAGCCAAAACGAGUUGAUGGAUCCAUUAGGCCGCUCAGAAUGCUUUCCCCCUCUCCCUCCAUUCCUGAGUGACACUGUAAAUCUGAGCCAAUUUCAGUCCCUAAUCAUCAUUACAAACCCCUCCACUGUUCAUUUAUUACUCUACAAUUCUAAUACAGCACACGAAUGGGUCAGCACACAGGGAGCCAACACAACUGCACAGACAGGCUUAAAGAGCCCAUAAUCCUUCCCAGUCUUUAUCUGGGAAGCAAACCUGAUUCCCCUCCCAGCUCCCAAAGCCUGCUCUGGACUGGCAAUCAGAUGAGGUCUGCCUGGCCUGGAGAUCAGGAACAAGGGCUAUUUAGCUGCUUGGAAUUGGAGUGAGGGCUGCAUGGCAGAGGGAGAGGAAACAUCUGUCAGAUGUAGGCAUCAAAGGGAGACCUGGGGUAGGGGUCACAGCCAUGGCUGCCUGCUCUAGAAAUCAUAGUGCUGUGUGAUGCCUGCAAUGUCUUUUCUGGCAGGGGGCUGGGAUCAGCAGGAGGGAUGCCUGGCACAGGGACCAAAAUUAAGGUAAUUUGGCUUGGUUAUUGGAUUGACAGCUGUCUGGCGUGGCGGUCGCGUGGCAGAGACGUGGCAUGGUGAUGGCUUGAUGGCUGUGUGAAAUGGUGACUAUGUGUCAGGUAUCUGGUAAAGUGAUCAGAGUUUUGACUCUGUCUGAUGCGCUGGCCUACACAAGUUUUGCCUAGCAAGGAACGAAUGCACCAUGUGUGCUAUUGGGAAGAUGUUGAUCACUCUGGGCAGGUGGCUCAAGAGGGGUUAUUUGUGCUACCUAACUGAUGGCUUAUCAAGAUUCUCCUUUAACUCUAGAAAGAAAGCUCCUGCCACUGAACUCAUGGGUUCCCGACUCAGGUCUCUGCAAAGAUGAAUACAUCAUACCAGUGCCCAAACUGUGGUUCAAUCCUCCCUUGGGGGGAAGAUCAUUCAGUUACGGUGAGAUGAUGUAGCUGACCUGGCAGUGUGGGGCUUCAUGUCAUGAGACCACAAGGGGAGGCAGUCAAUGUCACCUCUCUUGCCGUCAAACCCUUCUUGAGGCAGUGAUGGCUUUUCAGGGGCCCGCCACCAGAUACACAAGAGUUUUCUACGCUGCAACGUAGCCACCCUGAGAAAGAUUCCUCUUCCAUCGCUGUGCAGAUCACGGUGAGCCUUCUAAGAUGCCCUGCAGACAGUGCUGAUCCUCAGCAGAAGGCAUGGUCAUAGUAGCUGAUGGAUAUGCCAGACCAGUAUGGUACACAGGCCUGGGUAUGUGAAACUUCACCAGCUGUCCAGAGAACUGGGAAUCCAUCAGCUGACAUCAGAGCCACCACCCAAACAUUUCCAGCUCACGUUAAAAAAAAGGUACAAGAAAUUAAAUCUACCCAUCACCAAAUAAAAGGCCAUAGUCUACUGUUCAUUGUUGUACAAAAUUCCCAUCGACACAAACUUCACUUAUCAAUUUAACUUUUAGGUGCUCAAACUGGACUCCAAUAUUGUGGAUGCAAUUUUGCACCUGCAAUUUGCAGGGGCAAUUUAUUACACCCACAACUAACCCUAUUAUAAUGCCUCAUUGCCUGAUUUGAAACUGCACACUGCAGUCAUAUCGCAAGGCUUCUGAAUGAGGGCAACUGCAUCCACAACAUGUGCCCACUAUAUCAGAGGCAGUUUGGGGGAAAUGUAGGCCUAAAUCCUUCUCCAUCUGUCCUGGUGUGACUUACUGUCCUGCACUUCACAGCAUUGCCAACUCCUGUGAUUUUAUCAUGAGUCUUGAAAUAUUUGGUGUUUUUCUGAAAGACUGGCAGCAUGUGGUUAGAGGGAAAUCUCAGCUAAAAAUAAAAGUUUCCCAGAACAGCUGGAAAACAGGCCCCAAACACACCUGGAACCCACUGGUGAGUUAGGAAUUUCAAGUCUUCCUCGUUGCUGCGCUGCAGAGAAUAUAUGAAUUGUUGCAGCUACCAAGCUCUGGCUCUUUAACUCAAGCUGGGACAGUUCAUGCUGGUUGUUCUGGAGGUCCCCAGUUCUCUCACUAGUGUGUCAGUGAAGAGGGUGGUUGUCCCACACCCUAAAGACCCCCAAACCAGAAGACAAGUAAAAAAGAACCUGAAAACAUUAUUUUAAAAAUACUCUCCUGCCUUCGGGGGCCCUGACUCACGAUUUUUGAAUGCUGGGGUUGGCAAUGCUGCAUGUAUUGACAUCUAAUUCUUUACUCUGAUCUUCCAAUAUCUUUUUUAACAUAAGUUAAAAAGUGUGUGUGUUUAUUUUAUAUUUACAAAAAAUACAUGCCCUUAUGCCACAAAGCAAAGGGUUCCAGCCAGCCCUUCAGUUUUUAAGUAAUGAGUCCAGCCAGGGAACAAAAAGUAUAGUGCUGGUUAGAAAACUUAUUCACUACUGUAAUCAUGCAUAACACAACAAGAAACCACCUCCUCUCACCAGCUCUCUCCAGUAUUAAUUUGCACAGAAUAAAGGCAACUAAAGAGGAGUUUAGAGCAUUCCCUUGCAGAAGCCCAGGCAGGCCUGGUGCUAGCUGGGCAGAAGGGAAAAGGUAAAUUAAAACACGUUAGCAGCACAUUAAAGAAGUCAAUACAAAGCACAACUUUGACUCAGGGCAGGUUGGGGGUGGUUCUUCUAAUGCAUAUAAAGCAGCCGGUUUGACAGCACUGGAGAGUAAAGCCCUCCAUUUAUUCAUAGACCAGACACAGCUCAAGCAAGGACAGUGCAAGCUACGGCCACUGCCCUACCUUAACUGGAAGCAUUCCAGCUCCAGGACAGAGCGGGCAAUUCAUCCCCUUGGCCUCUUUGCUCAGACUGCCAACAAUGAAGCCACUUGUAAUGGUGGUUUUGUGACACCUCUUCACUAGGAACUGACUGAGUCCAACUCAUUUCACAUAGGCCACUGAGCCACCAGCAGACGAUAAACACAGUCACUGUCAAGCCGAGCUUGAUUAGAACCAACAGCUUAGCAUGGAAUGAAAGGCUAGAUAGCUCCUGAGCCACCUCACCCCCUUUGGUAAGAUAUUGAUGUUUGAAUACAAGCGCUGGGCCAGAUUUUACAAGCAGUUGCCCCAGUGUAAACCCAGAAUAACUCUAUUAAAGGCAAUGGACUUACUCCGGAGUUACACUGGGACAUCUGAGACAAGAAAUGGGCCCAUUGCUUCCAAGAGCUGUGGAGAAUUGUAGAUUUCCUUUUGUGUCUGGGCAUCUCUCUGUUAAGUGUCUGUCUGUAUUGAAGACCAUAAUGGGUGUUAUAGGGCCAGAUCCUCAGCUGGCGUAAAUCCAUGUAGCUCCACUGAAGAAAAAUUGAUGGAACUCCACUGAGGCCAAGGGCAAAUGUUGGUGUGAAUCAGUGUGAUGGUCAGGGCCGAUAUUUCCUCUCUAUUCCAGCAGCUCCACUUUCUCUCUAGACUUCCCUUCAUGCAAUAAUUCUGAGCUGUCUUGUCAGCACAAUUUCGUAGCAUGCAAUGCCACAGGUUUGCCUUUCCUGCAGUAUUUUUGAGCAUGCUUUUUGGGAUCACUCUUUUGAAAUAUUGUAGGAAUGGCAGUACCAUGGUAUUUCUGCCAGGUCCUAUCCAGCUCCUAGUCAUGUUGUAGAGCUACUGUGAACAGAGAUGGGCAUUUCCGAUGGUAUUAAUUAAAAAAAUAACUAAACUUUGACUGAUCUUAUUUAUACUCUGAUAUAAUGCAAAGCCCUACCAAGUAAUACUUUCCAUUUCUUCCAUCAUGGGAUCUUAAAGUCCUUUUGAUGGUUGAUUAAAUAAACCUCACAACUGCAAGAUAUGCAGGUAGUGCUAUCUCCGUUUUACAGCUACAAAACAAAAGGCACAGAAGAACUUUCUUCAGGGGACACUGAAAGCUUACUCCAGAACUGGGAGUAGAUCCCAGAUCUCCUGGCACCCAGGCCUGAACUUUAGGCACAAGGCCAUCCUUCCCCACAAUAAAUGUCUGUCAAGUAGAGCUGUCAUCUAAAAAAUGUUCUGACAGUUUCCUUCUUUUGGAGAGAAGACUGUUGAAUUCUUUACUGGGGAUAAACACUAUCAAUUGGCAGGAAAGGAGGUGAAGACUCAGGGCUAGAUUCUGAUCUCUUUUACUCUGAUGUAAAUCUGGGGCAACAUCAUUAUCUCAGUGUACGCUGGAUAUACAAUGAUGUUUUUGAGAUCAGAAUCUGGCUCCCAUUAUCUAGCUUCUAAGAUUCUAUUUGCUCCACGCUGAAAAUAUAAGGGUCAGAUUCUGAUCUCAGUUACAUCAGUGUAAAUUAAGAGCAACUUCAUGGCCUUCAAUAAAGGUAGUCUGGAUUUAGACUGAUGUAAUAGAUGAGAGUCCUGCCCUAAUUAUCUACUUCUACCAUACAAAUUAUAUAUAAUGAACUGAAGUACAUAUGGAGGUCAGGACAUUAAAGGCUCGAAAAGGCCCCAAAAUAUGCAACCUGUGUUUACCCAAAACAGAGACAUCUGUAUCUCCAAAUUUAGAAAUGAUUUUCCUCUUUCCAAAUGGGUAAUAAAUCAGCAAGCACGGUACAUAUUUUUUUUUUUCUAUUUUGAAUUCUGUUAACUGACAAUUUAACCUAAAAGCCUUUGUAUUUUCUACUUGUACAGCUGUAAAUAGAGACUGACAGUUUAUUUUCAACAUCCUGGGUUUUUUUUUUUGUUUUUUUUUUUUAAAAAAACAUUUGAAAUAAAUACUUAUAGGUCCAUGACAGACGGGUAGCUGAUGCUCCAUAGCAAUCUCGUGGAGCUGUCACACUCUGUGAUCGGUCUUUUACAAACACAAACACUGUUGAUUUCUUAUCAAAUGUAAAACCUCCACUGCUCUUUCUUAAAUGGUUACUACUAGCAUGAAAUUGACAUUGUGAAUCACAUGUGACACUGACUUGUCUGCCUUGUAAUUGAUCUGUGCUUAGGAAAGAGACAGAGCCUGUACAAGCUUCAGUCCCAAUCACUGACUUUUCAGCACACACCAAACUCCCAGCAAUCUGCUCAGGACCCUAGUGAUAACAAAUUGUUGCAAAUGAUAGAAAACUAUAAAGGAGGAGAGAGGGAGAAAAAGAGCUUGAUUCAUCUAAGGGGUUGGGGGGGUUUUUUUACACUGAUUCUCUGAGGUGUCAAUUUCAAUUUCAAUUGAUUCAUUAUUAUGCAUCUCAAACUGCUGUAAUUGGCUGCUACAGAAAUGUAUUCCUUUUUGUAAAAAAAAAAAAAAGGAGGAGGAGGGAUGUGAGAUGGCACA